rnacentral:rRNA from 1 species
GACGAACGCUGGCGGCGUGCCUAAUACAUGCAAGUCGAGCGAAUGGAAGGGAGCUUGCUCCCUGAAGUUAGCGGCGGACGGGUGAGUAACACGUGGGCAACCUGCCUGUAAGGCUGGGAUAACUUCGGGAAACCGGAGCUAAUACCGGAUACGUUCUUUUCUCGCAUGAGGAAAGAUGGAAAGAUGGUUUCGGCUAUCACUUACAGAUGGGCCCGCGGCGCAUUAGCUAGUUGGUGGGGUAAUGGCCUACCAAGGCGACGAUGCGUAGCCGACGUGAGAGGCUGAUCGGCCACACUGGGACUGAGACACGGCCCAGACUCCGCCGGGAGGCAGCAGUAGGGAAUCUUCCGCAAUGGACGAAAGUCCGACGGAGCAACGCCGCGUGAGCGAAGAAGGCCUUCGGGUCGUAAAGCUCUGUUGUCAGGGAAGAACAAGUGCCAGAGUAACUGCUGGCACCUUGACGGUACCUGACCAGAAAGCCACGGCUAACUACGUGCCAGCCGCCGCGGUAAGAC